rnacentral:rRNA from 1 species
UACGGGGGGUGCAAGCGUUGUUCGGAAUUACUGGGCGUAAAGGGCGCGUAGGCGGUUCGCUAAGUUGGAUGUGAAAACUCUGGGCUCAACCCAGAGCCUGCAUCCAAAACUGGCGGGCUAGAGUUCUGGAGGGGGUAGCGGAAUUCCUGGUGUAGCGGUGAAAUGCGUAGAUAUCAGGAGGAACACCGGUGGCGAAGGCGGCUACCUGGACAGAAACUGACGCUGAGGCGCGAAAGCUAGGGGAGCAAACAGG